AUGCUAAUACAGGUGCGGCAUUCGCGGCGUGAGCCUUGGCGGAACCCUCUGCCCCGUCCCGCCGCCCUUAUGCCUUCCUCUCUGUGCCCCUACUCGAGGGUGCCCAUGGACGAGGUGGGUGUGGACAAGGGCCGCCGCGGCGUCGGGCUGCGGCCCCUGGCAGGGUUCCUGUUGGGGAUGCUGGCCAUGGCCGUGCCCCUGGGCUACUUUGCCGUGAAGGCCAACAGCGAAGCAUGCCACCUUGGUCUCCAAGCAGAGGAAAGGUUCCACAAUGUCACCCAGCACCUGCGGGACCAGCUGACCCGAGCCCAGGAGGCCCUGCAGGACGCCUACGCCACCUGCAAAAGCACCGUGGAAAACCUGAAUGCGUCCCUGAGCGAGGCGAAAACUCAGGAGCAGAAGCAACGCGAGCAAGUGCAGGCCCAGAAGGGUGAGGAGGGCACCCGCAGGGGCGCGCCGCGGCGCUGGUGGGGUCCGGAAGCUGCCGGCCGCCCGGGGGCGUGGCCGUGUCGGGUAGGGCGACGGCGCUCUGUGUCCCCAGAUGAGAUCGCGGAUUUGAAGCAGAAGCUGCAGGAGACUCGGCAGACGGUGCAGCAGCUCAGGUCAGCCCCGCCCCUCGCCCCGCCCCUUCCCGGGACCCGGGACCCCCGCCGGAACAUCCACGCUGCCCCCGGUACACCCGAGUCCCAGGGCGGGCAGGAGGCCGGCCUGGCCCGCAGCUGCCUGAUUGUCCCCGUCUUCGCUCCAGGAAUGAGAUCUCCGCCACCCGCCAAAGGAGUCCCAAAAGCGCGGCCGUCUCCGUCGGCGCGGUGCCCGCGGCGCUUCUGCUCCCGGUCCUCGCUGCGCUGCGGCCCUGACGUCCCCGGAGCCCGCCGGUGGCAGCCUGCGCUGAUCUGGUUCCAGGUCCUUUCGGCUUUCCUGUCCGCUGACCCAAGGUUGCUCGGGACAACCCCACAGCGCGGUUGGGGGUUGCAGGGUGGGCAUCAUGGAGGGGACGCGGGCUGCACCGGGGUGGAAAGCCCCUCUUGGGGGUGGGAUGGGGCCCCUGCCUCCGCAUCUCACUGUCACGGUUGAGGUCCCUUUUCUUCUGGAGUCUUUCUAUUCUGAAACAAUAAACAGUUUCGAGAAAAAAGAACUGGCUCCCAGGUUCCAGGAGUGUGGCUGUCACCCAGGGUUGGGGCGGCCCCUGUGGGUGAGGCUGGGAAACCCGCUGCACCCACACUCUGACGUCCUGCGACCCGCUGGGGCUCCCAGCCACCACGCCGCCGGAAGCAGCCUCCGCACCUGGCAGGGCCUGCGGGCCCGCAGCCCCCUCCUUGGUCCUAGUGGGGAAACCGAGGCUGGGGAGGGUAACUGUCCUGCUUUUCCCUGCCUCCUGCAGAAAGUGCUGGGUUUGGGUUUAAACCGCCAUGCGCAGGCGCAUUUAGGCCAAGCCUCCGUCAGAAUGUUCUCGUUUCUAUCCCCCAAGCUCUUAUUUGUCCUGCAGCACCCCACUCAGUUUUUGUUUUUUGGGUUUUUGUUUUGUUUUGUUUUUCUUCCGGUACCAGGAAUCGAACUCACAACCUUGAGCUUGCCAGGCAGGCGCUUUGCCGCUGAGCCAAAUCCCCAGCCCCACUCUGGGCCUCCCCCUCCAGAAAAGUUCUUCAAAAGUGACAGCUGCAUUGCCCGCAGACACUUCAGCCGCCUCUGGCUUCCUCCCGGCUGCACGGUCUCUUCCUGCCUGUUAUCUUUCUUCCUCCAAGUUGCCCUGGAAUCUGUGUGACUUCCCGUCUAUGGCCGUAGGGCCUGGAGCGGAGUCUUGGGUCCCAGAUUUCUGCCGUGCCCAGACCUCAUGGUCAGUGGAAGACAGGGGCCUGUUGCCCCGUUCUCCAGGGACACUGCACCCACCCCUGCCGCCAGCCGGCCCAGACCUCUCUGAGCGCUGGGCCUGGGCCCUCGCUCUGCCCGGCUGGGGAUGUUUGGGAGGGUACGUGGGCAGUACCGUCCCGGGUGGGCCAGAUGGUCGCAGCCUCUCGGUCACCGCCACUCGGAGUCGGUGCAGAGGGCCUGUUCCCUGGAGCUGCCACCUGGGGUUUGCAGGGGAGGCAAGGCUGCUGGGAGCGACCCGGAGGGGACCGGCGAC
ensembl:lincRNA bone marrow stromal antigen 2-like